rnacentral:rRNA from 1 species
UUAUCUGAACCUUCGGGGAACGAUAACGGCGUCGAGCGGCGGACGGGUGAGUAAUGCCUAGGAAAUUGCCCUGAUGUGGGGGAUAACCAUUGGAAACGAUGGCUAAUACCGCAUAAUGCCUACGGGCCAAAGAGGGGGACCUUCGGGCCUCUCGCGUCAGGAUAUGCCUAGGUGGGAUUAGCUAGUUGGUGAGGUAAUGGCUCACCAAGGCGACGAUCCCUAGCUGGUCUGAGAGGAUGAUCAGCCACACUGGAACUGAGACACGGUCCAGACUCCUACGGGAGGCAGCAGUGGGGAAUAUUGCACAAUGGGCGCAAGCCUGAUGCAGCCAUGCCGCGUGUGUGAAGAAGGCCUUCGGGUUGUAAAGCACUUUCAGUCGUGAGGAAGGUGGUGUAGUUAAUAGCUGCAUUAUUUGACGUUAGCGACAGAAGAAGCACCGGCUAACUCCGUGCCAGCAGCCGCGGUAAUACGGAGGGUGCGAGCGUUAAUCGGAAUUACUGGGCGUAAAGCGCAUGCAGGUGGUUUGUUAAGUCAGAUGUGAAAGCCCGGGGCUCAACCUCGGAAUAGCAUUUGAAACUGCAGACUAGAGUACUGUAGAGGGGGGUAGAAUUUCAGGUGUAGCGGUGAAAUGCGUAGAGAU